rnacentral:rRNA from 1 species
UACAGAGGUCUCAAGCGUUGUUCGGAUUCAUUGGCGUAAAGAGCUCGUAGGCGGCCACUCAAGUCGAAUGUGAAACCUCGAGGCUUAACCUCGAGCCUGCAUUCGAUACUGGGCGGCUAGAGUCUGGUAGGGGGAUCUGGAAUUCCUGGUGUAGCGGUGGAAUGCGCAGAUAUCAGGAGGAACACCGGUGGCGAAGGCGGGGUCCUGGGCCAGUACUGACGCUGAGGAGCGAAAGCGUGGGGAGCAAACAGG